rnacentral:rRNA from 1 species
UGGGGAAUUUUGGACAAUGGGCGAAAGCCUGAUCCAGCCAUGCCGCGUGAGUGAAGAAGGCCUUCGGGUUGUAAAGCUCUUUUAGUCGGAAAGAAAGAGUUGCAAUGAAUAAUUGUGAUUUAUGACGGUACCGACAGAAAAAGCACCGGCUAACUACGUGCCAGCAGCCGCGGUAAUACGUAGGGUGCGAGCGUUAAUCGGAAUUACUGGGCGUAAAGGGUGCGCAGGCGGUCUUGCAAGUCAGAUGUGAAAGCCCCGGGCUUAACCUGGGAAUUGCGUUUGAAACUACAAGGCUAGAGUGCAGCAGAGGGGAGUGGAAUUCCCUGUGUAGCAGUGAAAUGCGUAGAGAUGUGGAAGAACACCGAUGGCGAAGGCAGCUCCCUGGGUUGACACUGACGCUCAUGCACGAAAGCGUGGGGAGCAAACA